AAGGGGGGGAGGACGUCAAGUCAUCACGGCCCUUACGAGUAGGGCUACACACGUGCUACAAUGGCGUAUACAAAGAGAAGCAAACUCGCGAGAGCAAGCGGACCUCAUAAACUACGUCGUAGUCCGGAUGGGAGUCUGCAACUCGCCUCCGGGAAGUCGGAAUCGUUAGUAAUCGUAGAUCAGAAUGCUACGGUGAAUACGUUCCCGGGCCUUGUACACACCGCCCGUCACACCAUGGGAGUGGGUUGCAACAAGAA
rnacentral:rRNA from 1 species